GAGUUUGAUCGUGGCUCAGAUUGAACGCUGGCGGCAUGCCUUACACAUGCAAGUCGAACGGCAGCAUGAUCUAGCUUGCUAGAUUGAUGGCGAGUGGCGAGCGGGUGAGUAAUACAUCGGAACAUGCCCUGUAGUGGGGGAUAACUAGUCGAAAGAUUAGCUAAUACCGCAUACGACCUGAGGGUGAAAGUGGGGGACCGCAAGGCCUCAUGCUGUAGGAGCGGCCGAUGUCUGAUUAGCUAGUUGGUGGGGUAAAGGCCCACCAAGGCGACGAUCAGUAGCUGGUCUGAGAGGACGAUCAGCCACACUGGGACUGAGACACGGGCCCAGACUCCUACGGGAGGCAGCAGUGGGGAAUUUUGGACAAUGGGCGAAAGCCUGAUCCAGCAAUGCCGCGUGUGUGAAGAAGG
rnacentral:rRNA from 1 species